rnacentral:tRNA from 1 species
GGCCUAGUGGCUCAGCUGGUUAGAGCGCCGCCCUGUCACGGCGGAGGUCGCGGGUUCGAGUCCCGCCUAGGUCG